rnacentral:rRNA from 1 species
UGGGGAAUAUUGCACAAUGGGCGCAAGCCUGAUGCAGCCAUGCCGCGUGUGUGAAGAAGGCCUUCGGGUUGUAAAGCACUUUCAGCGGGGAGGAAGGCGGUGAGGUUAAUAACCUCACCGAUUGACGUUACCCGCAGAAGAAGCACCGGCUAACUCCGUGCCAGCAGCCGCGGUAAUACGGAGGGUGCAAGCGGUAAUCGGAAUUACUGGGCGUAAAGCGCACGCAGGCGGUCUGUCAAGUCGGAUGUGAAAUCCCCGGGCUCAACCUGGGAACUGCAUUCGAAACUGGCAGGCUAGAGUCUUGUAGAGGGGGGUAGAAUUCCAGGUGUAGCGGUGAAAUGCGUAGAGAUCUGGAGGAAUACCGGUGGCGAAGGCGGCCCCCUGGACAAAGACUGACGCUCAGGUGCGAAAGCGUGGGGAGCAAACAGG